rnacentral:rRNA from 1 species
UGCGUAGGUGGGCAGUUAAGUCAGUGGUGAAAUCUCCGGGCUCAACCCGGAAACUGCCAUUGAUACUAUCUGUCUUGAAUAUCGUGGAGGUAAGCGGAAUAUGUCAUGUAGCGGUGAAAUGCUUAGAUAUGACAUAGAACACCAAUUGCGAAGGCAGCUUACUACCCGAAUAUUGACACUGAGGCACGAAAGCGUGGGGAUCAAACA